AUGAAUGACACCAAUUACCCAGUCAUGAGUUGGAAUGUCCGAGGUUUAAACACACCGGCGCGCCGCGCAGUCAUAUGUGACACUGCCAAUACGCACAAGCUUGCAAUCCUCUGCCUCCAAGAGACUAAGAUAGAACGCUGGUCGACUGCCCUAGCUAGAGAAAUAGGAGGCGCAAGGCUUGGCGACUGCGUCGUCCUCCCAGCGACGGGGACGCGUGGAGGGAUCGCAAUCUUCUGGAACUUCGCUCUAGUUUCCAUCCAAUCUCAAGCUAUAGGACAAUUCUCAAUAACAGCAAGAGUAACACUUGCAAACUCCUCAGCUUCCUACUGGCUAACCACG
rnacentral:rRNA from 1 species